GAUGAACGCUGGCGGCGUGCCUAAUACAUGCAAGUCGAGCGAACGGACGAGAAGCUUGCUUCUCUGAUGUUAGCGGCGGACGGGUGAGUAACACGUGGAUAACCUACCUAUAAGACUGGGAUAACUUCGGGAAACCGGAGCUAAUACCGGAUAAUAUUUUGAACCGCAUGGUUCAAAAGUGAAAGACGGUCUUGCUGUCACUUAUAGAUGGAUCCGCGCUGCAUUAGCUAGUUGGUAAGGUAACGGCUUACCAAGGCAACGAUGCAUAGCCGACCUGAGAGGGUGAUCGGCCACACUGGAACUGAGACACGGUCCAGACUCCUACGGGAGGCAGCAGUAGGGAAUCUUGCGCAAUGGGCGAAAGCCUGACGGAGCAACGCCGCGUGAGUGAUGAAGGUCUUCGGAUCGUAAAACUCUGUUAUUAGGGAAGAACAUAUGUGUAAGUAACUGUGUACAUCUUGACGGUACCUAAUCAGAAAGCCCCGGCUAACUACGUG
rnacentral:rRNA from 1 species